CGGCGGUUCAUUCAGAGACAGCGCUGGUGCACAGCGUCGAGCCUUUUUGAAGCUGAAAACAUUGGACUUUUUGGAACCAGCCUGGUUGAAGAACGAUUAUAGCAGCACAGAAACGCAAGGCGAGAUAAGCAGGAUGACAAGUGCAGACACCGGCCAGAAGCUACUGUGUGACCGAAGAAACAGAGGUGAUGUCCUACAGCUGUGGAAUUGGCAAGGCGGUGACCGACUGCUCACGAUACUCUGCUAAGCUGGCUGACAAGUGUGCACGGUGGGCAAGACAGACAUGCGACUGAGUCAGCGCAGGCGUGAAGACGCGCGGACGAUCGGCACGGACGCCACAUGCGCAGCUGGAAGAACUGCCGACGGUCAGAGCUGAUGCCACCAAGAGCACAUUAUGCAUAAAUUCCUUCUGUAAUACUUUUGAAAUAUGUCUGUAACCUUUUAAAUCUACUACUU